UACAGAGGUCCCGAGCGUUAGGCGGAAUCACUGGGCUUAAAGCGUGUGUAGGCGGAGUUCUAAGUACCUUGUGAAAUCCCACGGCUCAACCGUGGAACUGCUUGGUAUACUGGUUCUCUUGAGCCACCUAGGGGCAACCGGAACAAACGGUGGAGCGGUGAAAUGCGUAGAUAUCGUUUGGAACGCCAAUGGUGAAAACAGGUUGCUGGGGGUGUGCUGACGCUGAGACACGAAAGCCAGGGGAGCAAACGGG
rnacentral:rRNA from 1 species